rfam:Hordeum vulgare subsp. vulgare, WGS project CAJW01000000 data, contig: morex_contig_55558
AUUAUACUCCCUCCGUCCGAAAAUACUUGUCCUUAAAAUGAAUAUAAUGAAUGUAUCUACAACUAAAAUAAGUCUAGAUACAUUCAUCUGUAGGACAAGUAUUUUCGGACGGAGGGAGUAUCUA